GCCUGGUUGGCUCAGUUGGUAGAGCGUGUGACUCCUGAGCUCAGGGUCGUGAGUUCAAGCCCCACAUUGGGCA
rnacentral:tRNA from 1 species